rnacentral:misc_RNA from 1 species
GGGAAGAUGGUGUCCCUCUCAUCCGUAGUUACUUCCAAGUGGAGUCAUUGCACAACAAAUUCUUAAAUAAUAUAAUCACACAGCUAAGUCAGCUAACUUUCCAUCAAAGUGCGUGAACACUUAAUUGGACUGUUAUGAAGUAAAUAUCAGGGAGAAAUUGCGCACUUCUAGGAUUUCUCCUUGAUAUUUACUUCACAGCAGUGCGCAAUUGCAGUUAAAUUGCAAUUUCACUAGUUGAGAACUUUGCAUGUGUAAUAGAUCUAAAUCCAAAACCAAUAUUUGCCUAUUCAUUUUAUUUGAAGAAAGGAAACCCAGCAGCAACUACUAUGUAGUUCAUACCCAAGAAAUUCCUAGAAUACUGCAAUUGCAAAGUUGCCAUUGUGUCACGGGUCCAGGUUUUAGCCCUCACUUGGAACCGUGCGGCACUUGGCUUGAACUCUUUCAAGACAAGUCAGCCAAGAGAAUCUGUUAUGUCUGCAGCUAGCCUCAGCUGGCAAAUACUUGAUUGGAACUAACUAAUAUAGGCUGUACAUUUCUCCAUGGCCGUUCACUGGCUGCUUGAUUGUUUUAAUUCAGCAAUUUCUUUGACCAC